AUAAAGCAAAGAUUCCCAGAGUGCCUCAUUCCAAACUCAAAUUCUUUGGCCCUGGCCUCACCAAUUUGGAUUAAGUAAACCUGGGUUGGAGUCCAGAAAUUUAUAGUUUGAACAGCACAGCAGGUGGGGCUAUACUCGUUCAGAGAAUGUUUCUGUUUUGUUUGAAAAGAUGCAACUGGCAGGAGCCCAGUGGUAGUUCCACGGAAACAACUGUGAUCCAGCACCUCCAAUUUAGAUCUGCUGUGGCACUGAAAACCAAGUAUUAAAGAUUGCAAACCCAUGGAAGAGGCCUGGCUUCCUGAAUCACUGCUCUAAGGAAGACACCUGCCUUUCAGGAACACCCACCUUGGACUGUAGAAGAGCCAGCAAUAAACCUAUGCUUUGUCAAACCAUUGAGAUUUUGGCAUUUCUGCCACAGCACUUGUUACUUAACUGAUACAGAAAGUAACACUGAAAUGGAAUUUUGGGGGAAUGUAGGACAUAGAUAAUCAAAGACGAUGUUGAGGGGAUCUCAUACAGGAAGGAUGAUAUGGACAAUGCAGUGGAGGACAGAAUGCAGCACAAUAGGUUGAAAUGGAAUAUUAUCAUUUGGGUUUUCAUUCCAUUCCUUUUUUUUUUUUUUCGGUACCAGGGAUUGA